rnacentral:lncRNA from 1 species
GCUGCCUGACUCUCCAGAGCCCGCUGGGGGCCCCGUGCACAUUGUUCCCCUCACCCACGCCUCCCCAGGGCCACUGGUCAGGACCACCCUCUGGACACAGCCCCAGGAGCUGGGUAGGACCAGACUGGUCUCUACAUUCCAUAUGCCCGGGCAUGGGGGCACAGGCCCAAGGGGCACUGUCCUGUCUGCAGAUGCUGCGGGAAAUCACAGAUCAGGAACACAACGUGGUGGCACUGAAGGAGGCCAUCAAGGACAAGGAGGAACCUCUGCACAUAGCCCAGACCCGGCUGUAGUUGCUCUCACACCGGCCCAACAUGCAGCUGUGCCGCGAUGCAGCCCAGUUCAGCCCCAGCUCACACCCCCCAACACCCCCAAGCUGGUGAGUGAGGUGGAGGAGCUGUACAAGUCCAUCACAGCGCUGCGGGAGAAGCUUCUACAAGCGGAGCAGUCCCUGCGCAACCUCAAGGACAUCCACAUGAGCCUGGAGAAGGACGUCACUGCCAUGACCAACAGUCUCUUCAUCGACCGCCAGAAGUGCAUGGCCCAUCGUACUUGCUACCCCACCAUUCUGCAGCUGGCUGGCUACCAGUGAGCAGCGGCACGGUGCUUCCCCCCAAUCCCCCAAAUAAACAGUGCGUU